AUACGGAGGGUGCAAGCGUUACGCGGAAUCACUGGGCGUAAAGCGCGCGCAGGCGGCUAUUUAAGUUGGAUGUGAAAGCCUACGGCUCAACCGUAGAACUGCAUCCAAAACUAUUUAGCUAGAGUGUGGGAGAGGAAGAUGGAAUUAGUUGUGUAGGGGUAAAAUCCGUAGAGAUAAAUAGGAAUACCAAAAGCGAAGGCAAUCUUCUGGAACACUUCUGACGCUGAGGCGCGAAAGCGUGGGGAGCAAACGGGAUUAGAAACCCUAGUAGUCC
rnacentral:rRNA from 1 species